rnacentral:rRNA from 1 species
GAUGAACGCUGGCGGCAGGCCUAACACAUGCAAGUCGAACGGAUCCUUCGGGAUUAGUGGCGGACGGGUGAGUAACGCGUGGGAACAUACCCAAAGGUACGGAAUAGCCUCGGGAAACUGGGAGUAAUACCGUAUGUGCUCGAAAGAGGAAAGAUUUAUCGCCUUUGGAUUGGCCCGCGUUGGAUUAGGUAGUUGAUGGGGUAAUGGCCUACCAAGCCGACGAUCCAUAGCUGGUUUGAGAGGAUGAUCAGCCACACUGGGACUGAGACACGGCCCAGACUCCUACGGGAGGCGGCAGUGGGGAAUCUUAGACAAAGGGGGAAACCCUGAUCUAGCCAUGCCGCGUGAUCGAUGAAGGCCUUAGGGUUGUAAAGAUCUUUCAGGUGGGAAGAUAAUGACUGUACCACCAGAAGAAGCCCCGGCUAACUCCGUGCCAGCAGCCGCAGUAA